rnacentral:rRNA from 1 species
CUCCUACGGGGCGCAGCAGUGAGGAAUAUUGGUCAAUGGGCGCAAGCCUGAACCAGCCAAGUCGCGUGAGGGAUGACGGUCCUAUGGAUUGUAAACCUCUUUUGUCGGGGAGCAAGGCCCGCCACGUGUGGCGGGAAGGAGAGCACCCGAAGAAAAAGCAUCGGCUAACUCCGUGCCAGCAGCCGCGGUAAUACGUAGGUGGCAAGCGUUAUCCGGAUUUAUUGGGCGUAAAGGGAACGCAGGCGGUCUUUUAAGUCUGAUGUGAAAGCCUUCGGCUUAACCGGAGUAGUGCAUUGGAAACUGGG